GCCAGGUGUGGUGGUGCGCACCUGUAAUCCCAGCUACUCGGGAGGCUGAGGCAGGAGAAUCACGGGAGGCGAAGGUUGUAGUGAGCCGAGAUCGUGACCCUGCACUCCAGCCUGGGUGACAAGAGUGAGACUCUGUCUCAAAAAAAAUUUUAUUUAUUUAUUUUUUGAGACAGAGUCUCAUUCUGUCACCCAGGCUGGAGUGCAGGGUCACGAUCUCGGCUCACUGCAACUUCCGCCUCCCUGAAGUGAUUUUCGUGCCUCA
rnacentral:SRP_RNA from 1 species